rnacentral:rRNA from 1 species
AGAACGAACGCUGGCGGCAUGCCUAACACAUGCAAGUNGAACGAGACCUUCGGGUCUAGUGGCGCACGGGUGNGUAACACGUGGGAAUCUGCCCUUUGCUUCGGAAUAACAGUUAGAAAUGACUGCUAAUACCGGAUGAUGUCGAAAGACCAAAGAUUUAUCGGCAAAGGAUGAGCCCGCGUAGGAUUAGGUAGUUGGUGGGGUAAAGGCCUACCAAGCCGACGAUCCUUAGCUGGUCUGAGAGGAUGAUCACCCACUCUGGGANUGAGACACGNCCCAGACUCCUACGGGAGGCAGCAGUGGGGAAUAUUGGACAAUGGGCGAAAGCCUGAUCCAGCAAUGCCGCGUGAGUGAUGAAGGCCUUAGGGUUGUAACAGCUCUUUUACCAGGGAUGAUAAUGACAGUACCUGGAGAAUAAGC